CCUACGGGAGGCUGCAGUGAGGAAUAUUGGUCAAUGGGCGCGACCCUGAACCAGCCAAGUCGCGUGAGGGAAGACGGUCCUAGGGAUUGUAACCCUCUUUGGUCGGGGAGCUAAAGACGCCAUGCGUGGCGUUCCGAGAGUACCCGAAGAAAAAGCAUCGGCUAACUCCGUGCCAGCAGCCGCGGUAAUACGGAGGAUGCGAGCGUUAUCCGGAUUUAGUGGGUUUAAAGGGUGCGCAGGGGGAAGAUCAAGUUAGCGGGAAAAUUGAGAGGCUAAACCUCUUAGCGCAGUUGAAACUGGUUUUCUUGAGUGAGCGAGAAGUAUGCGGAAUGCGUGGUGUAGCGGUGAAAUGCAUAGAUAUCACGCAGAACUCCGAUUGCGAAGGCAGCAUACCGGCGCUCAACUGACGCUCAUGCACGAAAGUGUGGGUAUCGAACAGGAUUAGAUACCCCAGUAGUC
rnacentral:rRNA from 1 species